CCUACGGGAGGCUGCAGUGGGGAAUAUUGGACAAUGGGGGCAACCCUGAUCCAGCCAUGCCGCGUGUGUGAAGAAGGCCCUCGGGUUGUAAAGCACUUUCAGUGAGGAAGAACGCCUGGUGGUUAAUACCCAUCAGGAAAGACAUCACUCACAGAAGAAGCACCGGCUAACUCCGUGCCAGCAGCCGCGGUAAUACGGAGGGUGCGAGCGUUAAUCGGAAUUACUGGGCGUAAAGCGCGCGUAGGUGGCUUGAUAAGCCGGUUGUGAAAGCCCCGGGCUCAACCUGGGAACGGCAUCCGGAACUGUCAAGCUAGAGUGCAGGAGAGGAAGGUAGAAUUCCCGGCGUAGCGGUGAAAUGCGUAGAGAUCGGGAGGAAUACCAGUGGCGAAGGCGGCCUUCUGGACUGACACUGACACUGAGGUGCGAAAGCGUGGGUAGCAAACAGGAUUAGAUACCCUGGUAGUC
rnacentral:rRNA from 1 species